UACGUAGGCAGCAAGCGUUGUUCGGAAUUACUGGGCGUAAAGAGUGUGUAGGCGGUGCUCUAAGUCUGUUGUGAAAUCUCCCGGCUUAACUGGGAGGGUGCGGCGGAGACUGGAGUGCUAGAGUGUGGGAGAGGUAAGCGGAAUUCCUGGUGUAGCGGUGAAAUGCGCAGAUAUCAGGAGGAACACCGGUGGCGAAGGCGGGUCUCUGGGCCGUAACUGACGCUGAGGAGCGAAAGCGUGGGGAGCGAACAGG
rnacentral:rRNA from 1 species